UAGGGAAUAUUGCACAAUGGGCGAAAGCCUGAUGCAGCAACGCCGCGUGCGCGAUGAAGGCCUUCGGGUCGUAAAGCGCUUUUCGGGGAGACGAGGAAGGACGGUAUCCCGGGAAUAAGGAUCGGCUAACUACGUGCCAGCAGCCGCGGUAAAACGUAGGAUCCGAGCGUUAUCCGAAUUCACUGGGCGUAAAGCGCGUGCAGGCGGUCGAAUAAGUUGGAUGUUAAAUCUCCUGGCUCAACUAGGAGAGGCCGUUCAAUACUGUUGGACUAGAGGGCAGUAGAGGGAGGUGGAAUUCCCGGUGUAGUGGUGAAAUGCGUAGAUAUCGGGAGGAACACCAGUGGCGAAGGCGGCCUCCUGGACUGUACCUGACGCUCAGACGCGAAAGCUAGGGGAGCAAACGGGAUUAGAAACCCCGGUAGUCCUAGCUGUAAACGAUGUAGACUUGGUGUUGGUGGGGUAUAACCUGUCGGUGCCGAAGCAAACGCGAUAAGUCUACCGCCUGGGGACUACGGCCGCAAGGUUA
rnacentral:rRNA from 1 species